rnacentral:rRNA from 1 species
UUCCGUAGGUGAACCUGCGGAAGGAUCAUUAAAGAAAUAAACCUGAUGGACUGUUGCUGGCUCUUCCGAGGGCAAUGUGCACGUCUGUCAUCUUUAUCUUUCCACCUGUGCACCCUGCGUAGAUCUAGAGAAAAUAUUGGUUCUGAAAGGAAACCGUCUGGGGAGCCCGUGCAGGCCAUACACCAAUGCCUGCUCUCCCUGAGUACCUAGGUCUAUGCCAUUUUUCUAUACACACACCAAAUGAAAUGCAAAAGAAUGUUCAUCAGAACCAUAUAAAACUUUUAUACAACUUUCAGCAACGGAUCUCUUGGCUCUCGCAUCGAUGAAGAACGCAGCGAAAUGCGAUAAGUAAUGUGAAUUGCAGAAUUCAGUGAAUCAUCGAAUCUUUGAACGCAUCUUGCGCUCCUUGGUAUUCCGAGGAGCAUGCCUGUUUGAGUGUCAUUAAAUUAUCAAAAACCCUCAUCUUGUUGUUGUCUGGGUUUUUUGGACUUGGGAGUAUCUGCCGGCCCUAAGGUCAGCUCUCCUGAAAUGCAUUAGCGGUACUCUCAGCGGUUGAGUGGCUCUUGGUGUGAUAACUAUCUACGCUAUGGUCCUCCUCCCACUUCCUCAGAGGAGGAGAGUGACACUGCUUCAUAAUGGUCCAUUGACUUGGACAAAAUCACCAAUUUUGACCUCAAAUCAGGUAGGACUACCCGCUGAACUUAAGCAUAUCAA